rfam:Pseudomonas fluorescens Pf-5, complete genome.
CCUCUUUGGGGAGUAGCCUGCCACCGCGCCCUGCGGUGGCGCCCGUAUCAACAUUCUCGGCAACCUGCCGUGGUACGGGCACCGUUUCGGUUGGUGAGACCAUCGACAUACCUGCGCUGAAGUCGGGCGCGUGGGCAUGUCGUGGACUCAAGCCCGACCGGAAGAC